CCCCCAAAGUGCCCCCGUGCCCACCUCAAGGUUCUUGAGGUUUUGGGAGAAUUGGUCACUUAGCAUAGUAUGACCCCCCGGUAAGCCCUCCUCAUAACACCUUGAGGUUUUGGACUGACAUCUUGAGGGAGGUUUUGGACUAACAUCUUGAGGAGGUUUUGGGAGAAUUGGUCACUUAAUGAUAUGAAGGCUUAGUCUCGUGGGAGACUCGACUCCCUAUGAAAAUGGGCUUAUAAAAUAUGAUCCUGGUAAGCCCUCCUCCCAAUACCCUGAGAGGGUUUUUAUACUCUGUGUGUUUAUACACAUGAUAAAUUCUUUACUGGUGCAAACAUAUUUUAACCCUGAUGAACACUGGCAAGCUUUAGAGGUGGCACAUCGGGUAUGGGCAUCGAACUUGGGAAUGGAAGACAUGUAUUCGGAGCUACCUGCACCCUAUGAUGUUUGCUGCCUUGUAUAAAGUUCUUGCACUUUUAAAUCUUGACACCCCAUUAGUCAUGAUAAAAGCUCCAAGGAAGAUGCAAUCUAUCUUUUCAGCUCUUGGCGACCUUCACUUGUGCAAAUUCCCUAGAGUCUUAUUUGGUGACCAAGCUGCAAAGUGGGCGGUAUUUAUUUCUUUUUCUCUUAAAGAUUUAAUCAGGUGUAAUAAGUCAAAAUUGUUUUCUUUCUUCUAUCAUCGUUUUUCACAUCAUUAUAUGGGUGAACAAAAGCCUUGAAAACUUAUAUCUGGUAUUUUCUUUUAUCACAUCUCUUUGCACAGACAACAAACUGUACACGUACUUUAUCAAGUCGUCUGGAGACUGUUCUUACAAUAGUUGGCCUAUACCACUGGCCUUGUAUGAGAACUUUAACUUGUUGCAAUGUCUCCAUGGUUUCCAGAAGCUAUGGUUUGGCUGCAGCAGCAUUAGCAUGUGCUAUUCGGUCAACAAGUGCUAUUACAUGGAUAUAUGUUGGUCUGUUGGAGCUGAUUGUGGCACAGGAUCGACCAAAGUUUAUUUUCCUCGAGGCAGCUCUCAUUGGGUAGGAAAAUUUAGCUAUCUUUAAUUUCCAAACAAAAUUUUCAGUCUUCAUUGUUUAAUUUAUCACUAUUAUGGCCAAAUCACAAGCUACUCUCGGCUUUAUAGUGUGCUUGGACACAAAGAAUUCAGGUAAUGUCUUUGUAAUCUCUCCUUACUCAAUUUUUUUGUAUAUUUGUAUGUGACUUUACAGCAGAUACUUCACCGGGCUUUUAGUAAUGAUCCUUGUGUUUUGUUGGCUGUCUACUAUACUUGUAUUACAGGUCUCUCCCUGUGCUUCCGAUAGCGUUGGUGUUUUCUGGAUAUCACUUGUCUGUGAUUAACGGUAAUGAUUUCCAAAUAUUAGGAAAAAGAUUUCUUAAAGUAAAUUUGUUAGGAGAUCUUUAAAAUAUAAAAUCUCAAUUGGCCAUAUUUUUCCUGCUUGCAACCAAUGUUCCCAUGGCUUUGUAUAUGAGUAUGGUUCAUCAGGUAAAUAAUUUUGUGCUGCAAUUUUAUGAUGCAGAAGUCUGUCUGUUCUCAAUUGGUUAAAUUUGGUUCUUAUGCCAUUCUCAAUAGAUUUUAUGGUUAAUUAGCAAAAAAAUAAAAAUAGAUUUUAUGGCUUCCUUCUUGUUAUAAUUGGAAAGCCUACUAGAUACAACUUAGGAUCAGCAUUUAAGAAUAUGCAGUUAUCUGCAUUGACUUCCAAUUUACAAUGAACAGAGGGGAGCUGAAGAUACAAUGAAAUUAUCUUUCACAAGAAGCUAACAAUGAGAAAGUGGAAAAUUAUUUUUUCGACACCCUGCCAUGCAACACCUUACUACUCAACCCUCCAUAAAAAUGCUCCUAUGCGUUUGUUAGACUGUUCACCAAGGCAAAAGCAAAAAAAUUUCCAGUGAGCGUUGAGAUUCAUUUACUUAAAUAUCCAAUUGCAUCAUUUCUAAACAGUUGUAACCUCUGCUAGUAUCAAUUGUUGUAUCAUUGAACAGUGACACCAAAGGAAUUGAAGAGUCUGACCGAUUUAUGAUGGACCCAGCUAGUUUUGCUGUAGAAUUUGCCAAAAAUUGGUCUGUGCCAAGUCACAUUAUACUAUUUGAUCAUGAAGAACGACUAUUGAAGGACUUUUUAGCUUUGCACUCUUUCCAAGAGGUUUGUUCUACUCUUAUUUUAAUUAAUGAGGUUACAGAGAAUUGGUUUUGAAAAAUUUCUUUUGUAUUGUAUGGGCUUUGAUUGAUAGAGGAGGUUCUUUCAUUCUUAUUUCAAGGUGGGCCGAGACCUCCAAGCAUCUAUAGUUGUGUAUACUCUAGAGUCUUGAGUCAUUAAGGGCAGGGACUACUAUCAUUGCUCACAAACUAGAAGAACAUCGAUUUUUUAGUGUCAUUGAGUUGUUGCAGCUACACAUGUAUAGCAUUAAUCAUUUGUGUUUCAGUGCUGAAGUCCAUGUUUUGAAAUCAUAUAUAUUUUCUUGCUGUCAGCCUAUAGCCUUGUGUUACCAAAGACUCCUUAUAACAGUACUGUGACAGGCUUCAUCCUUUUCUCCGCUUCAAUUUUCUUUUUAAUUUUUGUAUGUCCUGUCUCAGAUAUACAUCCAUUGUCUGACUACAGUUGGUGGUGACAGAUUGUUCCAAAAGUAGUGAUCCUGAAAAGGCAUUUAUAAGCUAAAUUACAUGCAAAAGUGGAGGUAUGUCUAUAUGUUAUUGCUUUUGGAAAUCCGUAGGAAAUUUUAGGCCCUUUAGAGAAGGUUGUGCAACUUCAUCCAUUAAAAGUUGUUAUGUAAGUUCCUCAUCAGAUUAAUUUGGAUGUAUCACCUACUAUUGCACAGGCUCGGCAAUAAAUAAGGUAACUCUCUCCAUAUAUAUCUUUUGCUCACUUCCAAUUAUAUUAGCACAGAUAAGCCCAAGAUUAUUGUUUUACAGCUUAAAUCACAAAUAUACAUAACAUAUAUUGUUGAACAAACACUAUAAACCUUCAAUAUUACACACUUAUAAUAGAUACUGCCAACAUGAAGCAAAAAAAAGAAACACAGAUUUCACUUUUUCUGAAAUUCAAGAUCAUCAUAUCUUGUAAGUGAUGUAGAGAGUGCGAGCAUAUGGUUAAUGGUCAUUGCCCACAACCUGUAACGGUGAUAAUCUUCCAUCAUAUCCAACUUAAUUAUCCCCCGAUCAGUAGUUAACACAAUAAGAAAACAUGUUUCACUUUCUUCCCCUUCUGAAUCUUUGUACAACUCUGCAUGUUGAUCUAGUACAAUGCCUACAUAUAAAUAUAAGCAUGCAUAGAUGAGUAUUCUGACUGCGAGCCAAAAUAUUUGGAACUUGAUGAAAAAGAAAGAUGGAGAAUUUUAAUAGAAAGUUGAAGAAGAUCAUACUUUCUUUUUUGCUUGCAAAGGUAUUCAUCAGGUUAAGCUUCUUCAAUCUGAGAACCAUCUGUGUACAAGUGAUUUGAUAGUUACUCUAGUAUACUACUAUUUGUUACUCGUUUAUAGAAAUGGAAGUUUUAUAAUUUAUUUACCUUGUCCUCCUUGUCUAAGGUAAUAGAUACUGACCUUACCAUGCAUCUACCUGUUUCCAGAACAACAAAUUGUUCAAAAACUUAAUAUAGCUUGAUUCUAGCUUAUCACAGUCCAGAUUUUUUGUCCAUGCACAUACCGUUGGAUGUUUCAAUGUUGAGGUCGGCACCCUUUGCAAGAAUUGAAAGACAUUGCUGAAAGUCCUCUAAGUGAGAUUCAUCAUUUUCCUCAAUUGGCAGCACUGGUGCACUCCCUUUCAGUCUGUUCUUGCAAACAUUUCUUUCUUUUAGCGUAGCAGCGCCUUUUAGGGCUAAAUCAAUAAUGUCAAAUCAUAUGUCAGAUCAAAUGUAUAAGAGGUCAUAUAUAAUAAUAAGGUACUUAUAUAUUUUGUAUCUACAUGUUGAAGCCGCAGCUGUAAGGGUAAGAAUGUCAGUAGCAGUUGUUCCACUUAUGGCUGAGGCUAUAACAGUUUUGAGUUGGUCUUUCUUGGCUCCCAUUGCCUCUGCAGUCCUUGCACAUUGAGCUGCCACCAGAGCCGCCGCCGAUGCCAUGGCUGCAUCCUUGGAGGUAUCUGAUUCUGAUGACUGGGUGGCUGCUGCUGAGGCUAUUGCAGCCAAGGCUGCUGCCACGCCUGCCACAGAUAUUGCAGCAUGCACUUCAGCGCGUUGCAAUCUUUUACAUUCUUUUCUCUUCUGUUUAAUCUCCUUCACCCAUUUCUUGAUUGGCACAUUAAUCUUCCAAGACAUCUGCAAUUUUAUUCAUAAGCAAUCAAAUCUUUACAUCAUUUAUAAAAACACCUCGGAUAUAAUAUGUUGUUAGUUUGUAGUUCGUCGUGGUUUUACCCAUUUCUUGCGAAAGCAGCUGUUGUAGUUUAAUUCGGGGUGCAUUGCUUGUUGCAUCCAUAGCCAAGACUGGACACACAAGAGGAAAGCUUAAGGUACUGAACUCUCUGUACUGUCCAUUUUCAGACCGGGAUCCAACAUCUGCAAGCCAAACUAAAGCAUCAUACAAAUGAAUUUCAGUCGAACGAGAAUAAUCCAUUAACUUGAGGCAGGGUCUAGGAAGGAUAAGAUAUACGGUACAGAUGUAAUAAAGAGUGCUCACCAGGGAAGGCGAUUUAGGUUCAUUAUCAAAUAACUUGAUGGAACUAUCAUGAAGAACAAGGGACCGUUCCUGCAAUUCUGUCUGGAAAGCUUCAUGAACUGCGAAAUUGCACCAUGCACGCGAAAGAAGAUCCAUGGUCUCGGAUUGUGAAUCCGAAACAUCUGGCUUCGACUUAAAAUCCAUCGAUUAUAAUCUUCAACCAAAGUAUUGCUGGAGGGGCUUAAGCUGCAACUUAUGAUAAAGUAAGUGAUGAAGAGUUGAGUUAAAUAGACAUUAUGCUUAAACAGUAAUCACCAUUGCCAUUUACACGCCCAUAAUAGAUUAAUUAAAGUAGGCUGAUAAGUUGAGUUGGAUGUACUUAGUACUGAUAUUGAGAAGGGGAACAAACAGGUCCACCUGCAUCAUUAGUGUCACUUGAUUGUGUGUGUGUGGAAACAUGCAUACAUUUAUUUAACAGUGAA